rnacentral:rRNA from 1 species
GAUGAACGCUGGCGGCGUGCCUAAUACAUGCGAGUAGAACGCUGAAGGAGGAGCUUGCUCUUUCCGGAUGAGUUGCGAACGGGUGAGUAACGCGUAGGUAACCUGCCUGGUAGCGGGGGAUAACUAUUGGAAACGAUAGCUAAUACCGCAUAACAGUAGAUAUUGCAUGAUAUUUGCUUGAAAGGGGCAAUUGCUCCACUACCAGAUGGACCUGCGUUGUAUUAGCUAGUUGGUGAGGUAACGGCUCACCAAGGCGACGAUACAUAGCCGACCUGAGAGGGUGAUCGGCCACACUGGGACUGAGACACGGCCCAGACUACUACGGGAGGCAGCAGUAGGGAAUCUUCGGCAAUGGACGGAAGUCUGACCGAGCAACGCCGCGUGAGUGAAGAAGGUUUUCGGAUCGUAAAGCUCUGUUGUAAGAGAAGAACGAGUGUGAGAGUGGAAAGUUCACACUGUGACGGUAUCUUACCAGAAAGGGACGGCUAACUACGUG